rnacentral:sRNA from 2 species
UCGCUCAGAGCGCCGAAGGCAGGAGCGGGGGACCCAAGGUAAGUGCCGGGCCCGUGAGUCGAGAACGCGAGAGGCCGACCGUACGUAGAGGUCGGCCGGACCGUGCAGACCGGCGGAACGGAACCGGCUGGGGGUGAAGACCGCGCGUCAGUGACGUGCGGCCGGGCAACUCACAGGCCCGAACCCGACAGCUCACCUCGUAGGCGUCGGUGAGGGGAUAG